CCCUAUUCAUGCAGAUCAGCCUGUGCUGAGGAAAAAGGAAUGAGCAUUGUACCUUUUUCUUCUCUCAAUCAGUUUAGAGAGGUGCACACAUUUUUUUUUUCCUCCACUCAUAAAGAAUCUCAGAAUUCUAGGGCUGGAAGAAAAUGUGGAAGAUUCCUCUCUUGGUGCUGAAGGCUUGAGUGGAAUUCGCAGAAGCCCAUUCCGGGAGCUCUAACUAGCUCUUUGGCUGCAGUCAAUGGCGUGAUCUCCUCUCACUGCAGCCUUGACCUCCUGGGCUCAAGCAAUCCUCCCACCUCAGCCCCUCAAGUAGCUAGGACUACAGG
rnacentral:lncRNA from 1 species